rnacentral:lncRNA from 1 species
AAUAACUUCAAAUAAUGUUAAUGAAGCAUUGUUUUAAUUUUGCCUCCAUGAAAAACAAAACAAAGUUGUGUCAUGAAUUAUUCUCUAUUUAAAAUCACUGCCAUCAUAUUAACAAUUUUUUCCCCUUUAGCAGUGGGCUGACAAAAUUCUUUCUCCCUUUUCCUUCCAACAAUAUAAUGUGAGCAUGACAGCAAAACAAAUUGAAACUUCUGCUAAGCAUUUUGCCCAAGACAUGCAUAAACUGCUCUUGUUUCUACUGCAGCUGCAUGUCUUUCCUGGGUAUGACACAUAAAAAUAGGUAAUGUCAAAAUAAACCUGCUAUAUUAAGAACAGUUAGAGAUGUGGAGGUGUCUGACUGGGACUUAAAGCUCAGGUCCUGAGCACUUACAGUCAUUAAAGAUAUUUUUACAGUUUUUUUGUAAAGCAGGAAUGUUAGCACUAAUCACAUGACUAACAUACAAAUUUGAAAAUUACAUCUGACAUCUCCCUAAUUUCCUCUUGCUAUUUAAUUUAAUUCUAGUAUUCAUUACUUUCUUUUUACUUAAAUUGCUCUUUUGUGUUUCUUCUUUGCUGUUAUGGGUGGCUUAGAAAGGAAAAAUAAGUGCGUUGAAAUCUGCUCUUCUCUAUUUUAAACACAAAUUCCUUUUUUCUAUCCUGAUUUUUACAGCUCCCAGGCAUAGGAAGUAUUACUUCCUCUCUCUUGCUUGUUCCCUAAAAAGUUCCAUGAUGGAUGCACAAGAAUGGCUGAGAAAACUUCUCACCACUCAGUUGAAGGGAAUAGGAAAUACUGAAUCCUUAGCAGGUGCCAUAUGCCUGCUGAAACUUCCCUGAAGUCUUCUCAGAAAAGGAUGGAUUAAAAAGCAGCUUCCAGGGGAAAUAUUGCUGCCUGCAUUUUAGACACAGAUGAAGUACAGCAGCGUAUCACAUAUUAAAUGUUACAUUUCACAUGAACACACUUAAACGCAGGACAUCAUAAAGA